AUUGAACGCUGGCGGCAGGUCUAACACAUGCAAGUCGAACGGUAGCACAGAGAGCUUGCUCUCGGGUGACGAGUGGCGGACGGGUGAGUAAUGUCUGGGAAACUGCCCGAUGGAGGGGGAUAACUACUGGAAACGGUAGCUAAUACCGCAUAACGUCGCAAGACCAAAGUGGGGGACCUUCGGGCCUCACACCAUCGGAUGUGCCCAGAUGGGAUUAGCUAGUAGGUGGGGUAAUGGCUCACCUAGGCGACGAUCCCUAGCUGGUCUGAGAGGAUGACCAGCCACACUGGAACUGAGACACGGUCCAGACUCCUACGGGAGGCAGCAGUGGGGAAUAUUGCACAAUGGGCGCAAGCCUGAUGCAGCCAUGCCGCGUGUAUGAAGAAGGCCUUCGGGUUGUAAAGUACCUUCAGCGGGGAGGAAGGCGGUGAAGUUAAUAGCUUCACCGAUUGACGUUACCCGCAGAAGAAGCACCGGCUAACUCCGUGCCAGCCGCCGCAGUAA
rnacentral:rRNA from 1 species